CCUGUACAAUACCUCGUUAAGAAAAAUGCCCCAGUUAGCCUUCUCUCAAUCAAUUCUCGCUCUAUCUUUAUUGUUUUUCAUUUGCGACAAAUAAAAUAAAGCUUAAUCGCUUGGUGGCAGGCAAACUUAAUCGCCAUUGGCAGUUCAUUCUGUAGCAAGGUCUUAACAACAUGAAGAGGUUUGUGGUGUUCCUUCUAGUCCUACUGUUGAUCGUUGAACAAGGGCAGUGUUUUCUGAAAAGAGCAGUAAGAAGAAGAACUAGAAGUAGCGGCAUUGCAUCAAAUGUUGCGAGCGAAGAAGCAAAGCGCUUACGUCGUGCUGUUGAGGAAUCCCAGAUCUUUGGGGAUUCCAUGGAUUUCGAGGACUUAGAGGAAUUGAUUGAUUCCCCGUCGAGACGACGAGUUAGAUAAAGAUGAGAUGUAGCCGUUUCACUGAUGACUUCACAAAGGAAGUCUUCAUAGCAACUGAUAUCUGUUAUAACGGGUAAAGCAGAGUGCCAAACAACUAAUAUACAGCUUUUUUAUCUUGCCUUGUAAUAUGUACACUAAGCAUUGUUUGCAUUUGGCACAAUAUAAUUAUUU